rnacentral:rRNA from 1 species
UGAGCUUGAUCCUGGCUCAGAUUGAACGCUGGCGGCAGGCCUAACACAUGCAAGUCGAGCGGAAACGAUGGAAGCUUGCUUCCAGGCGUCGAGCGGCGGACGGGUGAGUAAGCAUGGGAAUCUGCCCGAUAGUGGGGGAUAACCUGGGGAAACCCAGGCUAAUACCGCAUACGUCCUACGGGAGAAAGCAGGGGAUCUUCGGACCUUGCGCUAUCGGAUGAGCCCAUGUCGGAUUAGCUUGUUGGUGAGGUAAUGGCUCACCAAGGCGACGAUCCGUAGCUGGUCUGAGAGGAUGAUCAGCCACAUCGGGACUGAGACACGGCCCGAACUCCUACGGGAGGCAGCAGUGGGGAAUAUUGGACAAUGGGCGAAAGCCUGAUCCAGCCAUGCCGCGUGUGUGAAGAAGGCCCUCGGGUUGUAAAGCACUUUCAGUGGGGAAGAAAGCCUUGGGAUUAAUACUCCCGAGGAAGGACAUCACCCACAGAAGAAGCACCGGCUAACUCCGUGCCAGCAGCC